rnacentral:rRNA from 1 species
AUUGAACGCUGGCGGCAGGCCUAACACAUGCAAGUCGAACGGUAACAGGAAGCAGCUUGCUGCUUCGCUGACGAGUAGCGGACGGGUGAGUAAUGUCUGGGAAACUGCCUGAUGGAGGGGGAUAACUACUGGAAACGGUAGCUAAUACCGCAUAACGUCGCAAGACCAAAGAGGGGGACCUUAGGGCCUCUUGCCAUCGGAUGUGCCCAGAUGGGAUUAGCUAGUAGGUGGGGUAACGGCUCACCUAGGCGACGAUCCCUAGCUGGUCUGAGAGGAUGACCAGCCACACUGGAACUGAGACACGGUCCAGACUCCUACGGGAGGCAGCAGUGGGGAAUAUUGCACAAUGGGCGCAAGCCUGAUGCAGCCAUGCCGCGUGUAUGAAGAAGGCCCUCGGGUUGUAAAGUACUUUCAGCGGGGAGGAAGGGAGUAAAGUUAAUACCUUUGCUCAUUGACGUUACCCGCAGAAGAAGCACCGGCUAACUCCGUG